GUAGCUGGUCUGAGAGGAUGACCAGCCACACUGGAACUGAGACACGGUCCAGACUCCUACGGGAGGCAGCAGUGGGGAAUAUUGGACAAUGGGGGCAACCCUGAUCCAGCAAUGCCGCGUGUGUGAAGAAGGCCUUAGGGUUGUAAAGCACUUUCAGUGGGGAGGAGGAUUGAUAGGUUAAGAGCUGAUUAAUUGGACGUUACCCACAGAAGAAGCACCGGCUAACUCCGUGCCAGCAGCCGCGGUAAUACGGAGGGUGCAAGCGUUAAUCGGAAUUACUGGGCGUAAAGGGUGCGUAGGUGGUUGAAUAAGUUAUCUGUGAAAUCCCCGGGCUCAACCUGGGAAGGUCAGAUAAAACUGUUUGACUCGAGUAUAG
rnacentral:rRNA from 1 species